CUAAUUUCUCUGCUCCAGGCCUCACGCUCGAUCUCCCUCCCAAUUAAUCUCAUCUUCUCCUCCGGAGCGCCAGGCUUGCUUGCCCGAUCUGGCACCGUCCGCCGCCGCUGGGCCUCGCCUAGACCACGCGUCGCCGGCGCUGCCGGCUGUCCGCCCAAACGCCUCCCUCUCCUCUCCCGUUUCUCUCCUUCGCCCGCUGCCGUCGUCCGUCCGACCGGCCGCCGCGCCACGCGCGCCGCCGCACUGGUGCGUCGCCUGCCGAAGCAUGCUCUCACGCCGGCGACCUGCGCCGCCCCACCGCCGGCCCUCCUGGACGCCAUCUUCACCACCGUUCCUCCUAUCCGCCGUCGCACCGGUGCAUCGCCCGCCGGAGCAUGCUCUCAAGCCAGUAACCUGCGCCGCCCCACCGCCGGCCCUCCUCGACGCCACCUUCACCGCCGCUCCUCCUAUCUGCCGCCGCCCCACGCACGCCGUCACCACACACCUCUAGCCGGCGGCCUCUCCUUACGCGUGUGUCGCGGGUCGACGCCUGCCGCUCCUCUGUGGUCUCGCCUGAUAGCCCUGUCAGAUGCGGGGAGGAGGACGAGGUUGCCGCAGAGAGGUCGCCCCGCCUGCUACCGGAUCCGCUCAUGGACAUCGUGCCGCGCAUCGACGUCCGCACCAAGCAGUGCCUCCCGCUCCGAAUGCGUCAGGCAAACCGCUCUGAAUCGUGCAGUGAUAUUUUGAUCUAAUUGUUCCAGAGGUACGCAGUUGCUUUUCUCUGCUAAUAACAUCUUGGAGGUGGCAUGCCUUUGGUGAAGGAAUUGGAAGCUGGCGUUGGUUUUAUUAGAGGAUCCGUCCAGGUCAGACGUUCUUAUCACUAAAUAUGGUGAACGGGGGUCUGAAAUGGGAACUGUCAAUUACAGGCAUGCGUAUUGUUUGACAUUCUUCAGAAGUAGUGCUAGGCAUGCGUAUUGUUUGACAUUCUUCAGAAGUGCCAUUUCCUGUCAAGUUGAAUGAGAUGCUAUUGACAUCUACCAUCUGAAAAAAAGGAGAUUGGUUUGUGUUGUGCAAUUGGGUUGACUAGGCUUUUAUUAAUUUUACAUUCAGGAAGAUAUGCUCCUCCGCGUGAGCCACACCAAUCUCAAAGGCCUCUUCCACUGUCGGUCAGCUCUCCACCCCCAUCUCCGCUCACUGAUUUCCUUCACUUUCGAAAUUUCUGUGGAUUAUACUCUCCUGUGCAAUUGAUAGUGAGAAAUCGAAUGCGAGGUUUACUGAUGAUAAGCUUCAACUAUGUAGUGGUCUCUUGCAUGGCUUAUCGGAUUUCGUGUAAUUUGCAAAUAAUAAACUGACAAUACAGCAAAACUUACUGAAGACAUCUUUUCUUUCCAGUCAAAGGUACUUCAUCAUGCUUGCUACUAUAAGGAAGGAAGUGGAACCACGGUUCAUAAAUAAUAAGAUUUUUCUGUCUGUUUUUUAUUCACACUGUACUGCAACGGUUAUCUACUUGCAAUCAACCACUACAUCUAAUGCUUCCUAGAUCUGGAACGUCAAGUGAUGUGCAUCUAUUAAAUUUUCUCAAAGAAAAAAUGACUGUUAUAUGUCAGCUUGUCAGUUCAGACGAUCAGAGGAGCAUCUUCAUCUUAUCAUAUCUUUGCCUGUAGUGCCCAAUAUUGCUAUGUUAUGUGUAUAAUUGAAGAUGUAGCUGCACAGUGAUUUCUUAUGGCCUUCUCAAUUUCAGUUAUUACUUCAGAUUUUGUCUGAUAUUUGGCUGAGCAAAAAUUAUAUCCAUCAGAUAGCUUGCUAUUUCCCCAGUGGUGCAGAUUUUCUCUGAAAUGAUAUAUCAGCUAAACAUUCUGGAUAUGCGUGUGUUCUUGCAAAUGUACUCAAAGCCUCAACCUAGAUUUUGUCGGAACCAAAGUUCACUUCUGAUAGAGUACGUGUUCUGCCUAUACCUUUUCGGUUGCUACAUGAUUUUGUUUGGGUACUGAGUAUAUAGCAUGUUAAAAAGGGCAAAAUGUAUAAAAAUAUUUUAUAAUUAGGAACAAGAUCAAUUUCGUUCAUUUACAUGAAAACAUUCUUUGCAAGUUCCCCUGCUCUCACAAAAGGAACACUCUGGUAUACUUCCAAAAGCAUUACAUAGGUUAUGACAUGGCACUUAGGUCACUAAGCCCCCAGUGUUUUAUUUUGUACUCUUGUUUAUUCUCUUCCAAUUUUUGAGCCAAGGUCAGCAGUAAAAUGUAUCUGGUCCAUAAUAAUUGUUCUUUACACAACAAACACAAUACAGUUUUAUUUUCCUUCCCGAUUUAUAAUUUGUAUUCCUUGCAAAAAUGACAUGGAACUAUAGAUUAUUCUUGAACCAUAAUAAUGUGCAUAAUGGUGCUACAAUCUGGCACUGUUGUUAUUUCAUAUUAGUUAGUAUAGUAUGAACAGUAUGCAGUUUUGUUUCCUUGGAACCAAGUAGGUACCUGGAGUUUUAUUGCUUGGGAUGUGUAACCUACUCUGAACAUGUAACUCAAUCACACAUGUUUGGAGCAAAGCAUUUUUUUUCAUGUCUAUGCACUUAGUUUGGUACAGUUUUGAGAUUUCAUGUCUAACUUACUUUCACAUUUUGUUGUAUAAUAUGGAUCCAGAGCCUAUGACCAAGUUUCUGUCUGUGUGUUACUUGACUAUCAAUCUGUGUGACGAAAUUGACUAA